rnacentral:lncRNA from 1 species
CUUUAACUGAGCUGUCUUCCUCGUAGUAGAUACUGAUCUUCUUGUUUGGGUUGUCGGCCCUGACGGUGACAUCGAACUCCGGCGAGAUCGACGCUGUCGCGGCCGCCGAGGAGACAUUGAAGCCGGUGAUGGAGAUGUCCUCGACGGAGUAGCUGAGGGCCUUGGGCCGGAUAACGAGGUAGAAAAUACCAGCGGCGAUGGCGAGUAGGAAGAUGAGGAGCGCGGCGAGGCCGAGGAACCAGCAGAGGCAGCAGCAGCAGCCGCUCCGUCGAGGCUUCCGGCCACUGUACUUCUGGUAGCGGCGGGCGUUUUCGGGAG